GAAGAGAUGGCUGAGUGGACUAUAGUGUUGGAUUGCUAAUUCGUUGUACAAAUUCUUGUACCCGUGUUGGAUUGCUAAUUCGUUGUACAAAUUCUUGUACCGAGGGCUCAAAUCUCUCUCUUUUCG
rfam:Vigna angularis cultivar Jingnong 6 chromosome 8, whole genome shotgun sequence.